GCGGACGUGGCGGAAUUGGCAUACGCAACGGUCUCCAAAACCGUGGUCCUAAUAGGGAAUUGGGGGUUCGAACCCCUCCGUCCGCACCA
rnacentral:tRNA from 1 species